GAUCGUGGCAACAGCCGGGGAUAUAGGGGGGGUCGAGAAUAAGAGAGAAAUGAGCUACCGCGAUCGGCAGUGGGAAGGGCUUAUGGCCGGCGAGGUGACAGACCUUGAGGCCCUCAAAUCGCUCAGCUGGAACGGCGUUCCAGCUAAAUG
rnacentral:ribozyme from 1 species